rnacentral:rRNA from 1 species
UACGUAGGGUGCAAACGUUGUUCGGAAUCACUGGGCAUAAAGAGCGCGUAGGCGGUCUGAUAAGUCCUGUGUGAAAGCCCCCGGCUUAACCGUGGAAUUGCACAGGAUACUGUCGGGCUAGAGUGCAGGAGGGGAGAGCGGAAUUCCUGGUGGAGCGGUGAAAUGCGUAGAUAUCAGGAGGAACGCCAGUGGCGAAAGCGGCUCUCUGGUCUGUUACUGACGCUGAGGCGCGAAAGCUAGGGGAGCAAACGGG